rnacentral:rRNA from 1 species
UCGAGGAUCUUUAGCAAUGGGCGAAAGCCUGACUAUGCGACGCCGCGUGAGGGAUGAAGUAUUUCGGUACGUAAACCUCUUUCGAUGGGGAGGAAACCUCCGAUUAACUUUCGGAGCUGACAGUACCCAGAGAAGAAGCCACGGCCAACUCCGUGCCAGCAGCCGCGGUAAUACGGGGGUGGCGAGCGUUACUCGGAUUUAUUGGGUGUAAAGGGCAGGUAGGUGUCCUACCAAGUUGGAAGUGAAAUCCUUUGGCUCAACCAAAGAACUGCUUCCAAAACUGGCAGGAUUGAGGCUGGAAGAGGAGAGCGGAAUUCCCGGUGUAAGGGUGAAAUCUGUAGAUAUCGGGAGGAACACCAGUGGCGAAAGCGGCUCUCUGGUCUAGCCCUGACGCUGAGCU